rnacentral:tRNA from 2 species
GCGGGUGUGGCGGAAUUGGCAGACGCACUAGACUUAGGAUCUAGCGCCUUACGGCGUGGGGGUUCGAAUCCCUUCACCCGCA